AGUUCUUGCUGAAAAUUGAUUUGUAAUAAGGAAUUAGUAUGGUGAUACCUUUUAGAAGGAAUAUAUUGGGAAAUGUUAAUGUAUUAACAUUAAAUCAUUUCAAGUUUGCAAUGACUUAACUGUUCCAAGGUUGCUCAGAUGUUGUUCUUGUCAAAAUUCAAGAUAAACAAUAAUUAAAAUCAUGGAAUAAUUGAAAUUAGUAAAAUAUAAUUAACAAAAUAUUGAUAUUCAAAUACUUUUUGCAUAUUAGUCAGCUGAUCAUAUUCCCUUCUGCUUAUAAAAAUAAAUUUUAAAAAAUGGACUUUUGUGCCUUAAAAAAUACCAAAUGUUGGGGGGGAAAUUAAUUGAUUGAAAUAAUGUAUCAAUUACUGGAAUAUUUGCUUGGUUCCAUUAAGUUUAGAAAGCCUUUUGAAUGUUAUAAAAAUUAAGCAGAAAUAUUUUGUCAUACAUUUUAGUUGGCUUGAUAUUAUUACUUGGCAAGGGUUGUGAAAUCAAUGCCAUUUCUUAGGGAUCCUUGCUCAUACAACAAAUAUGAAAUCAGUUUUAGUCAUAAUAAUAAUAGAACAGUGACAGUUUUACGAAGUGCAAAACAUUUAACCUGAAUUUUUUUCUUUUUUUACAUAAUCAACCUUAGAUAUAUUCUUAAGGUUUUAAAUAUCUAUAAACUAUAACUUUAAGGUUCAAAUAAAAUCUCAAUACAUAUAAUGCAGUGCCCCCACCCCACCUACAUAUGUUAUUUUCCUCUGUUAUGUGAGACAUAUUAACCAUUUGCUAACAUCAUCUUUAGAUUAUAUUUUCCGUAAUCAGAAGGUCACAGUUUUCAUUACUCUCUAACAUAACUUUUUACAUGAAUUAAUUUUGUUUUUGAUAAACUGUUAUGUGUAUACAAAAGAAACAUUAUUUUUCUCAUGUUGUCACUUGUAUAAACUCAAGUUUGUUCUUGUUAACUGAUAUUUUCAAUAAACUACAACAUAUCGAAAAAUAAAAGGUGUUACAUUUUUGUGGUUUUUUCACUGCAUUUCUUAGUUGUAAUAAUCCUAGUUAUAGAAAUAAAAUGAUUUUAAGAGAUAAGUCAGUUUUUAAAAGGUUUCAUUUACUAUUUCUAGGACUGAAUUAUACAUUUCUAAAUUCACUAAGCCAGGACUGAUUCACUUCUAAAUUGUUUCAUAUUUGAAUCCAAAGGAUUUGAUAAAAGUUACUUGAUGAUGAAUUUAUUGCAAAAGCUCUAAUCUUUGUGGGAGCUACCUUAUAUGGAUGAAUAAGGACAAGCCCCUAAAUUGAUGAGAAAUACAUACUUACUAUCUGUGUAUGUGAGCAAAAAAAAAUGUACUCUAUGUACAAUUGGCACACCGUAUGAAACUUAAGUAACCCUUUUAUUUCUCGAGUACUGUAUAAAAACUAUUGUGUGUAUGUAUGUGUUAUUUAAUGCCCAUUUUCCAUGCUGGCAUGGGUUGGAUAGCUUGACAGAAGGUGGCAAGGCCAGGAAGUGCACCAGGUUCCAUAGUCUGUUUUGGCUUGUUUUCUACAGGUGGAUGCACUUCCUAAUGCCAACCACUUUCCAGAGUGUACUGGGUGCUUUUUAAGCAACACCAGCUUACACACACACACACACACACACACACAGUACAUACUGUGGUGAAAGACAGUACAAACCACUAUUAAAAUUAUGGCUGAAAGGAAGGAACAAAUUAAUGGAGAUGUGAACUUUACAAACUAUAUCAUAUGCAACCUAUCUAGAAGAAUAGUAACUCUGAAUCAGAAUUGAUAUAGAGUAGAGGGGAACUCUUCAGUAUUACUGCAGACAGACUCUCAAAUAUCAGUGGCCCAAAACUACUAAACCAUGCUGUAAAGUAUAUGAAAUACUUCAAAGUUUAUCCAAUAAACUCAAGCCUAGAAAAAUGACUGUUAUAUAAAAAUUAUUAUAUGUACACUUGUAUGUACAUAAUCAGCUGUAAGAUUAAAAAUCUAGAUAUUUAAGUUUUAAAGAUAUUUUCCAGAAAAAGGUCUUUUUAGUCUCAGUAACUAAAUUUUUUUUUUUUUUUUGUUCUUUAUUAAAAUCAUGGUUUGACUAUCCUCAAAAAUAAGAAAAUAUCUUUAGAUGUUUUGACAGACACUGAAAUACUUCAAGUAACUGACUGAAAAACAAAACAAAUUAUAUGUCUCUUAAACAUAGUAGAAAUAACUUUGUAUAUAAUUCAAUCUCCUGUUUUGUGAAUAGAUUAUUAGUAGCUUACAUAUUUCUAGAUUAAAAAACAAAACAACAUUGACUGUGAAUUAUAUAGUUUUCCAAGUGGGUGAAUCAUAAAUUCUUAACUACUAUCAUCAUCAUUUAGCAUCCGUUGUCCAUCUGUUAUACAUAUAUAAACACACACACAUAGUUGCCCCAUAGAAUCAAUUACUUUCCAUCUAAAUGUAUAUAGAAUCCCUAGCACAGAGUUCAUUUUCAGUACAGCCAAUUGAGCAUUCCAGCUAAUGUUGUGUUGGAGCAAUUGUGCAACGCAUUAUUGGAUCACUGGAGUUUUAAAAUGCUUGAUAUCAAGACAGUGCAGUCUUUUGUGACACUAAAAGUCAUGAAGUUUUCAAAGUUUCCAAAUACAUACCCAAAGAGAUAUUUUCGUUUAUUUUUAGAAUAUAGUGAGACUUACAUUUUCUUUUAUCAACACCUCUUCCCAAGACGUUUAAUACCAUUUGGAAUGUUGUACAAACAUUUAUUAAGGGGUUUUAAAACUGAACUAUUAAUAAAAUUUAACCUUAAUAUUCGAAUAAUUUCAAAAAUUAGAAAUCCAAAACAAUGAAGAGCUUGAAGCAGUUUUAGAUACUUUUCAUUGAUAACUAAGCUUUCAGUUUUUGAAUUAUUGAAUUGUUUGCAAUUUUUAAUUAGCUUACUCAAGUUUCAAUACAUUCUCAUCAAAUUAAUUUUAGUAAUUUGAAUCAAUAAAUCACAGAUUUUCGGGGUUUUUUUAGAAAACAAGUAAUAUUGGUUAAUAUCAGCUUUAUUAAAGAACUUCAGAACAAGUUACUGUAAGGAAUAUUUUUAUACCACAAUGUGAAUCACUUGCAGAGAUUUUGGCAAGCAUAAAAUCAUUUUAAUUUUUGUACAUGUCUAAUAUCUUACAAUUGGGUUUGAAGUUGUUUGGCAAGUUAUUGAAGAUGUCAAUAUUACUAUCAACAUAAACGUCUUAGAUAACCUGAUAUUUUUCAACAAUAAAAAGAGCUUUAUGUAGUUGUAGCUUAUCAACAAACCUGGAUGAAGUAAUUUUUUUGUUAUCUGUCUACACACCUAUAAAUGUCUAAUAGAUCUUGUAAAUAAUUAAUCACUAUUACCUAUACUUAGCUGAAGACUCAGAAAGCCUUUCUGUAAAUAAAACUAGUAUGGUUAAUUAUUUCUAUUUGUGCAUCAUUAAAAUUGAGUUUGUGUCUGUC
rnacentral:lncRNA from 1 species